UACGUAGGGACCAAGCGUUGUUCGGAUUUACUGGGCGUAAAGGGCGCGUAGGCGGCGCGGUAAGUCACUUGUGAAAUCUCUGAGCUUAACUCAGAACGGCCAAGUGAUACUGCAGUGCUAGAGUGCAGAAGGGGCAAUCGGAAUUCUUGGUGUAGCGGUGAAAUGCGUAGAUAUCAAGAGGAACACCUGAGGUGAAGACGGGUUGCUGGGCUGACACUGACGCUGAGUGCGCGAAAGCCAGGGGAGCAAACGGG
rnacentral:rRNA from 1 species